GUUGCCAUAUAUGGGCAUGGCGUUCUGUUGCUAGGCGAUGGGAGCGGAGGCCCUCAUAGAGGGUUUAAUUUUAAUUCAAUUGUAUUUAAUUUAUGGCUAUUUCCAUGGAAAAUCACCUCCUUCUGUUGAUACAGAGUUCCCGUCGCCUAUCCGUGGUCCUUCUGGAAAAACACUCUUUAUUUUUGGCCUUGGUGUUCCACACCUGUGCCUCUCUCCUCUGCUGGAGGCCAGGAAUAGGGAGAGACUGAAAAAAAGUUGAGGGAAAAGAGAAUGCUUUAAGGAAUUGCAGGUAAAGCCCUCAGAAUCAGUACCUAGCAAGGUGAGAAGGUGGUUUUCUACCAGGUGCAGACCAUCACGAGGAGGGAAAAAUAACCUGGUUUGUCAGAAAUGAAUUCAGGAUAUUUGAACUGUAUUUCAGAGGAAGCUGAGGGGAGACCUCCACAGAUGUGCCCAGCAUCCCAAUCCAUGUUGGCUUCCUGCUGCCCUCACUCCAUCCUGCUUCCUCUGUGAAUGGAGUUUUCCAGAGACAAUCCGCCUUUUCGGGCUUGUUUUCAGCAGGAAAAGCAGGAUCAGCUGUCUCGGAGCUGCUGUUGCCUCAGAUGUUCAUUGAUUUGUUCUGUAAUUGACAAAAGCAGCUGGAUGAGCUCGGAUCAGCCAUCAUUGCUGACAGGAUCAGCUCUGGGAUCUCUGCAGCACACGGAGCCCCAGGCCAUCCCUGCAGCUCCAAACUGUCCUCCAGCCAGCAGGAGCUGCCAGAGCCUGGGAAUGCCUGCAGAGAACUUUGGGGGAAAAUGGGCACUGAAAAGAUGAGCAAAUCCCUCUUUCCCCCAAGAGGAAACUUCUACACAAACGUGUUUUCCUCAGUGCCAGGGAUCUGGCACCUAAAGCUAAUUCUGGGAUAAUUAUGGAGCAGGGAUGAGUUUUCCCUUUAAAAAUGGUGAGAAACACACUUAGAAUCUGUUCCCUAAUUAAAUCUACUCCAGCAGAGAGGGACAACCAGGAAUGCUUGGUGUCUUAUCCCAGCUUUGAUGCCUCUUGGAAUGGUCCAAGCUGAUGUAGAAGUCGACGAUGCCACGUUAUCCCUCGGGACACUGCGGAUCCUUGGCAUUCCCACAGCUCUUCCUCAGCAUGGAUCCGGGCCAGCUCAAGGAUUUCUAUCUAUGGCUCUGUCAGGAACAGCAAAGGGAGAUCCCAAAGGUGGGAAGGAGAAGAGCUGUGGAAUGCUGGAGCUGCAGCCUGAACUCGCGGACAUCCUGGGAGUUCUUGACGUGGCUGUGCCAAAGGGAUCCCAUCUGGAUCCUUAGAGGAAUUUGCAUUUGGAGCAGCGUUCCAGAAGGAUCCUGGAAGCUUUAGCGUGAGGCUGGGGUUUAUUCCUCUCUACCCGAGGGCGAAUCCGAUGGAUUUGGGAGCGGCCGGGUCACUGCAGCCGGCAGAUGGCACUGACUCAUCUCACUGCUCCAUGGAAACACCCCAGCCUGCUGCAUUCCCUCUCCAGGACCUUCUGCCUUUGGAAGCAGUGAUGCUGGAAAACAUAUUUGGAGGUUGAGUAAGGCCCUGGCUUCCUUCUGGAACUGUUUGUGCUGGGAUAAAAUUCCCUUGUCUGCGUGCUCAGAGAUUCCUGGGAUCCUGGGUGUAGCAGCAGCUGAGGCACAGAGCUUGUGCUUCCCAAAGCAGAGUGACUGUGAGGCUGAUCCUGGGGAUAAUCUUCCCUGGCAUGCUUUUGGAAGAUGUGAUCAGGCAGAUACAUCAGUGUUGUUUCCUUCAGGCCAGGCUGGAGCGAGCUGGGAUAGGGAAGAUGCCCUGCACAGAUGAGACCAUCUGGAAGGUCCCUUCCCACUCCAACCAUGCCGCGAUUCCGUGAUGUUUCCCAGGUGCCAGAGGAGCUGUGGGAUCAGGGUGGACGCUUCUCCUGCCACAGCCACGCAUCUCCCCCUGUGAUGAACGCUCCAACAGCUCCAAUUCCACCCGUCUCCCAUCUCCAGGGCUCCGAUGUAGGACAAGGAGGGCUAAAACGGGCAGGAGGGUGGGAGUGCUGUGGGAGCAGAUUACAAAAGGAGCUAUUUUUCCUUUAAGCUUCUCAGCUCGCCCCCUGCUUAGGUCCUGACAGCUGUCAGAGCUCAGCAGGUGUCCCAGGGGGAUUUGGGAGGGCACGGAAGCAGCUUGGCACACCCGGGGGUGGCACUGCUUGUGGAUUCUCUGGUGCUGCCAGUGCCACCAGCGAUGGGGACAGUGGUGGCCCUAAAUUUUCUAUGCUCAAAGAUCCUCUUGGACAGCCUCAAGCUCUUCCCUGCUUGGAUUUCACCUCAAACCCCACCUGUUUCGGUGUGGGAAUGACUGGAUCCUCCUGGGUUUGUUUUUUUAUUUUUCCCAUGAUUAUCAACUCCAAGCUGGAACCAGCAGGAAAUUCCUGGUGGGCAGCAGUCCCUGUCCUGGGGGAUCAGGAUGUCCUGUGGAAUGUCCUGGGUGCAGGAUGAGGCUGAGGAGAGGCCGUCUGGGAAUGCUCUGGGGACAGCCCAGCUCUGUGGAGGGACAUUUGUCCGUAAAGGUGGCAGGAGACGGGAUGAUGCUCGGUCACCAUGGCAACGGCAGUGCAGGGAUGCUGGGGACGCAGCUGUGUCCUGGCAGAGGUGCUGGGGAGCUGCUGGAGGUCUCCUGUCCUGAUCCCGGGCUGAAUUCCAACAUUUCAGACAGUGUGGGCAACCUGGGAGGGGCUCUGCUCAACCAGGACGCCCCGAGCUGGAUUUGAAAACAGGAAUAUUCCUGAAAUUCAAGAGCUAUUUGUGCUCCUAAAUCCCAGGAAGAGAAACAAGAGCUCUGGAGCAGAGGCCUCAGAAACCACCUGCCACUCACAUUUUGCCUCUCCAUGGAUCUAAGUUUCCAAAGGCUCACGGAGCCUGGGAUAUGCAAAUGACUCUUGGCAUGUGCUGAUUGUGAUAAAUGGGAAGCAAAGCAGGUGGAUGAUCCUUUAGGAAUCAUAAAGCCCCUCUUGUGACACCGAGGAUAUCUGGCCUUGGAAUUCUGCACCACUCUUUCCUCAGCACGUACACCCGGGAACAGGGCAGGAGUUGGAAGAAAUGGAUUUGCAAAUGGAAGAAAUGGAUUUGCAAACCUGUGCUGUUCAGCAGAGCUCAGAGAGCCCCCUUGGAAAUAUGGAGGCAGAGCCUGUGUCAUUCCCAGCUUUCCAGGGUGCUCUGUUCAUUGUCCUGUGUGCUGCUGGAUAUAAUGGAUCCUUUGAAAUUCCUCCAAAUUAAAACCUCCCCUCUCCCCCUGUCAGCAGGGACCAGCCCCUGUUUGUGGAACUCCAUGGUUAUCAGGUGCCUCCAGCACUCUGCAAAAACUCAGAGUUGGGGAAUAUUUCCCUUUUUAAGGCUGGAUUUAGUUCCUUUGGAGCUGGAAUGUUACAUUCCCCCAGCUGGGCUUUGCUUUGGACAGGAAGAGGCUGAGCUGGAACAGGAGCUGGGUGUGAAUCUCCCUGAGCACUGGGAGAGGGCAGUGCCAGGCUCUCUGUCCCUUCCCUAAAGGAAUGCCCCUGGCAGUUCCCUGUCUGCGUUUGGCAGCUGAACAGGAGCAGUGGGAAUUUGGAAAUAAACCCAGCAGAGAGGGGGAAACCCCAGGAUCUAAAGCAAGCAAGAGAAAUCUCACUUUCUCCUGCAAUUUCAGAGGCCUGAGCCAGCAAACAAACAGUUAUUUCCCUGUGCCCACGCUGGGUAGAUCCAUAAUUCCUGAGAGACGGGGGAGCAGUGCUCCAAACACGAGCUGCUGGCUGAUGGAUAGCUGGGAUAAUGGCACAGAUAAAUCAGGAGAGAGAUCUGCUCCAGGGGUGCCUCCAUCCCUGCUCCUGGGAGCCUUGGAAGUGCAAGGCUGAGGUCUGGAAAGGAAGGAGCAAAGCUGAGAAGUUGUGUUUCCUUAGUGUGAAAUCUGUUGGGAUAUAGGAACUGGAAUUUUGGCUGGGAUUUGGGCAAGGCAGUGCUGCUGAAGAGGAAUCAAAAGGAUUUGGUGUUUCUUUCCAGCAUAUCUUGGAUUUCUCUACAAUCCCAGGGCAGAGGGGUUCAAAUCCUGUUCUCCUCUUGGGAAGGAAGAUUCCCUUUCCUUCACCUCUCACAAACUGGAGAUAAAUGAAAUGAUUCCAGGAGGCUGCUGGGGGUGGGAAGGGGCUCCCAGGGAAUGGCUCCAGCUCCUUCCUCCAGCAGCCUGUGGCAAUUUUAAUUUCCAUGGAAAUCCUGCCCAAGUCUUCCCAGCUCAGCUGGCAUUUUUCUGCUAUCCCAGUGAUGUUCAAAUCAAUUCUCUGCCUAAUCAGCUUGUAAAUAUUAUUCCAAGGGGUUUUUCCCCCCUCUCUGUUUAGGUGUGUUAGGCUGUGGAAGGAGAAACACAUCGGGAAAAAAACAGGAGGGAAAAGCAUCUGCUUCUCUCUUCCACUUCCAGCACAACCUGCUGCUGAAAUGGGAUAAAGACCCAGCUCUGGAACUGCUUUUUCUUGUGGGGAGGGAAGAGAGAGACUCUUGGAGGUGUUGAAAUUGAGAUUUCUCCGAAGGAUUGGAGCACCAAAUGUGUUGUGAAUCAGAGGCAGAGGGUGGGAAUGCAUCCCUUGUGUCAGCAGGGAGGCUGUGGAUGCACAGGGCAGGAAUAGGAGAUGCAUCAGCCUUGGGAAAGGUGUUUGAGGGUCACAUUCCAGCAGGAAUUAGAGAGGUGUCCCAGCAUCAUCUGACUUCCCUGUGCCUGGCAUUCCCGAAGAAUGGACCAGGAUUCAGAGCCAGAGCACAAACCAUCGGUGUCCUCCUGGAAAAGGCACCUAAAUAAAGGCAGCUUUGACACCAGCAUUAUUUUUUUGGCCAAGUUUGUGGAAAAUCCAUCAGGAAUUUGCCUUUCAAUGUGAUUUUUUUAUUGCAUCUCUGGGGUCUGAGCAAGCUGUGCCCUCUCUCCAGGACCUGCCUGGGUGGGAUAAGAUCCAGGGAAAGCUGGAAACUUGGCAAACUCCUGUGGUAGAAAGUGAACCUGGGGUUGCUUUUUAAAGGCUGAGUGUAAACACAUCCCAGGAACUGCCAGUCUAUGGAAAACAGAGAUAAGGGAGUCUCUGGGUGCCUCUCCUGGUUUCCCAUAUUUAUUUGAUAACUGGUGAAUGCAGCAGACGCUGGUGGCUAAAAAUAAACGAGGGAGCUGCUCCAUGGGAUUCUGGUUUGGAGGGGAACAGUCCUUAGUGCCAGCUCAGGAAUCCACAUUCCCGGUUUUUAACGUGGAAGGGGAUUUGCAGCAGGAUCUUAUCCCAGGGGAAUUGUUUUGCUGGAGCUCCUCGCCGGCAGUGCCGUGGAUUUGCCAUGGAUUUGGGAGGACGCCAGGCUGAGGGUGAUGGAUACCCUGCUGCAUCCACAUUCCAGGGCAAUCAGAGCCUAAGGGACCUGCACCAAAGCCAUCCCCCCAGCCAAAAAAACCCCGAAAAAGGCAUGGAUUGCUCAGAGCUGGCAGGAAUGCUGAACCUUCCCGCAAGGAGCUGCUUCCCAGCCCAGAGCUGGGCAGUCCUGUGCCCAUCCCAGUGAUGGGAAGCAGGAUGGGACCAUUGAAGUCACCUUCAAGAAUCCGUGUCCCUGCAAAGCUCUGCUCCAUGGAAUGGGAGUUUGCACUUGGAUCGGGAGGCAGUGACGGGAUCCGGAGCUUGGGACCACAGCCGGUGUGGAGCCAGGAGCCAGGGAUGAGCUCCCUGUGGGAAAGGCAGGGCAGAGUUAUCCAUGGGCAUAAACCCAGCUCUAAAACCCAGGAUUUGGAGCUGGGACAUGCAGUGGGAGCCUCUUUCCUGCUUAGCUGAGCCCAGCUCCUUUUCCAGCCAUUCCCGUUAAUCCCCACGGCUCUGCCCAGGGCGAGGGAAAGCGCUGCUGGCUGCUGGAGAAAGCUACCCCGGGGAGGGAAAACUUCCUCCAAUUUCUUCCCCAUUGACUGUGACAUCUGUUUUGGGAUGAGUCAGGCGGGUUCCCAGCGCCUGUGUGGGAGGGAAGAAGGGCGAGAGCCGGAGGGGUCGGACCUGCCGGUCUCUGGCCGCACAUCCCUGCUCCAUUCCCACAUCCCAGCCCCAUCCUCUCAUCCCAGCCCCAUCCUCUCAUCCCUGCCCCAUCCCCGUAUCCCUGCCCCAUCCCCGUA